GACGUAGGAUGCAAGCGUUGUCCGGAAUUAUUGGGCGUAAAGAGUUCGUAGGCGGUUUGUUAAGUCUGGUGUUAAAGACGGGAGCUCAACUCCCGCAUGGCAUUGGAUACUGGCAGGCUAGAGUGCGGUAGAGGUCUCGGGAAUUCCAGGUGUAGCGGUGAAAUGCGUAGAUAUCUGGAGGAACACCGGUGGCGAAAGCGCGAGACUGGGCCGUAACUGACGCUGAGGAACGAAAGCCAGGGGAGCGAAAGGG
rnacentral:rRNA from 1 species